GAGUUCAUCAUUCAAGUUAUUACUAAAUCCUGUACAUAGGUUCUUUUGUUUAUUUUUGGCAGAUAGCUGAGAAGAUAUGAAUGGUGAGAGGUGAUAUGAGCAUUUUCUGGAUUGCAAGUCAAUGUAGGCAGUUUUUCAGUUACAGUUUCAAAAGAACAAAAAGAAAGAAAUAA
rnacentral:lncRNA from 1 species